GGGGGGGGGGGGGGGGGGGGGGGGGGGGGGCGGGGCGGGCGGGGGGGGGGGGGUGGGGGUGCGCGGGGGGCGGGGGGGGGGGUCGCACGGGGUUAACCUUCCCGUGGCUUCGUGGUGCGGUCCGGAAAGGGGGGCUAAUCGCGUAUAGUCAUCCUUGUUGCCGGGUGGGGUUUGGGAUGAUUCGGCGGUUUUUGCUGGACUCGCGUCGUUGUAGCUUGUUGGUGGUGUAGUUGCGUACCAAGGCGUUGACUGGUUGUCGGCCUGAGAGGGCGACCGGCCACAUUGGGACUGAGAUACGGCCCAGACUCCUACGGGAGGCAGCAGUGGGGAAUAUUGCACAAUGGGCGGAAGCCUGAUGCAGCAACGCCGCGUGCGGGGUGACGGCCUUCGGGUUGUAAACCGCUUUCAGCAGGGGCGAAGCUUGUGGUGACGGUACCUGCAGAAGAAGCACCGGCUAACUACGUG
rnacentral:rRNA from 1 species